rnacentral:sRNA from 1 species
GGGAAGAAGAAGCACCCGCUUCUCACCUGAUUGACGCAAAAGCGCAGUUGGCAGGUUUUACGAACAUAAUUAUUUGUUUACGUUUGUUUUCGUAAAGUGUGGGUGUAUUAUUCAUCCACACUUUUUUAUUU